rnacentral:lncRNA from 1 species
AUCCCAAAAUGUCAUCAGUCAGCAAGAGGAGUGUCUAAAGGAACUGGAGGAACUCAAAUUUGAAAUCCAGAAGUGUCAAUUCGAGAGGGAUGAACUUUAUCAAAUCCUGGAUCUUUAUAUCUAUGAUGAGUGGGACCACAGGCUGCAUGUCGAAUUGCCAGUCCUUCAAUCUGAACAUGAGAUGAGAAUGAUGGCUAUGCAAAUGAUGACCAACUCAAUAAGUGAUGCCAUGGAGAGGUACAAGGAGCUCAUACAAGUGAACAGUUCCUACCGCAUCAGGCACUCCCAGCUCCUGCGUGAACAAGC